rnacentral:lncRNA from 1 species
CAACAUCUGAGAAGAGAAGGUUCUGGAAAAUAUAGUCUCCUAUUCAAUGCUACAUCAAACUGAAGAAAGUCUCUUUUCUGCAUGGAAACAUAACGACUUCAUGGAAACUACAGCAGGCACUUUACAGAUAUUUCCCCCCUAGUGAUCUGCACUGCACUUCUACUUGUUAUACACAUAUUUGGCUGUGUUGAAAUGUCUACUAAGCCACAACGUUUUUUUAAGCCUUAUAUGAAAAUCGUUACCUACCACAGUCAGAAGCCUUUU